UACGUAGGGGGCGAGCGUUGUCCGGAUUUAUUGGGCGUAAAGAGCUCGUAGGCGGUUUGGUAAGUCGGAUGUGAAAUCUCCACGCUCAACGUGGAGGCGCCAUCCGGUACUGCCAUGACUAGAGUCCGGUAGGGGAGAGUGGAAUUCCUGGUGUAGCGGUGAAAUGCGCAGAUAUCAGGAAGAACACCCGUGGCGAAGGCGGCUCUCUGGGACGGUACUGACGCUGAGACGCGAAAGCUAGGGGAGCAAAACAGG
rnacentral:rRNA from 1 species